rnacentral:rRNA from 2 species
UACGGGGGGGGCAAGCGUUGUUCGGAAUUACUGGGCGUAAAGGGCUCGUAGGUGGCCAACUAAGUCAGACGUGAAAUCCCUCGGCUUAACCGGGGAACUGCGUCUGAUACUGGAUGGCUUGAGUUCGGGAGAGGGAUGCGGAAUUCCAGGUGUAGCGGUGAAAUGCGUAGAUAUCUGGAGGAACACCGGUGGCGAAGGCGGCAUCCUGGACCGACACUGACACUGAGGAGCGAAAGCCAGGGGAGCAAACGGG